GUCUGGGGAUCCGAAGGCUACGAUAGACCGCCGAUCCGACCUUUGGGGGUAGUCCCCUAGGCCAGAUCCAGUACUGGUCGAGGGCAGAUCAGCCCAGUGGACUGAGACCAGGCCAGCUCGUACGAAGCAGCAUCGGAUCUGACAUGGCGAAAGCCUGAUCAGCAUGCAGCGUGUUGAGAGGCAUCCGGCUGUAAGCCAUUUGUCGAAGAAUGCUCUGGUAUACCUGGGGUCGAUGACGGUACCUGACGAUAAGACCGGCUAACUACGUGCAGCAGCCGCGGUAUACGUAGGGUCAAGCCGUAUCGGAAUUACUGGGCGUAAAGCGUGUGCAGGCGGUUGUGCAAGACCGAUGUGAAAUCCCCGAGCUUACUUGGGAAUUGCAUUGGUGACUGCACGGCUAGAGUGUGUCAGAGGGUGGUAGAAUUUCACGUGUAGCAGUGAAAUGCGUAGAGAUGUGGAGGAAUACCGAUGGCGAAGGCAGCCCCCUGGGAUAACACUGACGCUCAUGCACGAAAGCGUGGGGAGCAAACAGGAUUAGAUACCCUGGUAGUCCACGCCCUAAACGAUGUCAACUAGUUGUUGGGGAUUCAUUUCCUUAGUAACGUAGCUAACGCGUGAAGUUGGCCGCCUGGGGAGUACGGUCGCAAGAUUAAAACUCAAAGGAAUUGACGGGGACCCGCACAAGCGGUGGAUGAUGUGGAUUAAUUCGAUGCAACGCGAAAAACCUUACCUACCCUUGACAUGCCACUAACGAAGCAGAGAUGCAUUAGGUGCCCGAAAGAGAAAGUGGACACAGGUGCUGCAUGGCUGUCGUCAGCUCGUGUCGUGAGAUGUUGGGUUAAGUCCCGCAACGAGCGCAACCCUUGUCUCUAGUUGCUACGAAAGGGCACUCUAGAGAGACUGCCGGUGACAAACCGGAGGAAGGUGGGGAUGACGUCAAGUCCUCAUGGCCCUUAUGGGUAGGGCUUCACACGUCAUACAAUGGUGCAUACAGAGGGUUGCCAAGCCGCGAGGUGGAGCUAAUCCCAGAAAAUGCAUCGUAGUCCGGAUCGUAGUCUGCAACUCGACUACGUGAAGCUGGAAUCGCUAGUAAUCGCGGAUCAGCAUGCCGUCGAAAUCCCCU
rnacentral:rRNA from 1 species